GGAAGGUGCAAGCGUUAUCCGGAUUCACUGGGUUUAAAGGGAGCGCAGGCGGAUUAGUAAGUCAGUGGUGAAAGCCUUAAGCUUAACUUGGGAACUGCCAUUGAUACUAUUAGUCUUGAAUGUUGUUGAGGUUUGCGGAAUGGGUCAUGUAGCGGUGAAAUGCAUAGAUAUGACCCGGAACACCUAUUGCGAAGGCAGCAGGCUAAACAAAUAUUGACGCUGAGGCUCGAAAGCGUGGGGAUCAAACAGGAUUAGAUACCCUGGUAGUCCACGCCCUAAACUAUGAUUACUCGACAUAUGCGAUACACUGUAUGUGUCUGAGCGAAAGCAUUAAGUAAUCCACCUGGGAAGUACGACCGCAAGGKUG
rnacentral:rRNA from 1 species